GAUGAACGCUGGCGGCGUGCCUAAUACAUGCAAGUCGAGCGAACAGACGAGGAGCUUGCUCCUCUGACGUUAGCGGCGGACGGGUGAGUAACACGUGGAUAACCUACCUAUAAGACUGGGAUAACUUCGGGAAACCGGAGCUAAUACCGGAUAAUAUAUUGAACCGCAUGGUUCAAUAGUGAAAGACGGUUUUGAUGUCACUUAUAGAUGGAUCCGCGCCGCAUUAGCUAGUUGGUAAGGUAACGGCUUACCAAGGCGACGAUGCGUAGCCGACCUGAGAGGGUGAUCGGCCACACUGGAACUGAGACACGGUCCAGACUCCUACGGGAGGCAGCAGUAGGGAAUCUUCCGCAAUGGGCGAAAUCCUGACGGAGCAACGCCGCGUGAGUGAUGAAGGUCUUCGGAUCGUAAAACUCUGUUAUUAGGGAAGAACAAAUGUGUAAGUAACUAUGCACGUCUUGACGGUACCUAAUCAGAAAGCCACGGCUAACUACGUG
rnacentral:rRNA from 1 species